rnacentral:rRNA from 1 species
GAUGAACGCUAGCUACAGGCUUAACACAUGCAAGUCGAGGGGAAACGAUAGAGAAAGCUUGCUUUUUCUAGGCGUCGACCGGCGCACGGGUGAGUAACGCGUAUCCAACCUGCCCAUCACUUGGGGAUAACCUUGCGAAAGUAAGACUAAUACCCAAUGAUGUCUCUAGAAGACAUCUGAAAGGGAUUAAAGAUUUAUCGGUGAUGGAUGGGGAUGCGUCUGAUUAGCUUGUUGGCGGGGUAACGGCCCACCAAGGCGACGAUCAGUAGGGGUUCUGAGAGGAAGGUCCCCCACAUUGGAACUGAGACACGGUCCAAACUCCUACGGGAGGCAGCAGUGAGGAAUAUUGGUCAAUGGACGAGAGUCUGAACCAGCCAAGUAGCGUGCAGGAAGACGGCCCUAUGGGUUGUAAACUGCUUUUAUAAGGGAAUAAAGUGAGUCUCGUGAGACUUUUUGCAUGUACCUUAUGAAUAAGGACCGGCUAAUUCCGUGCCAGCAGCCGCGGUAA